rnacentral:rRNA from 1 species
AUUGAACGCUAGCGGGAUGCCUUACACAUGCAAGUCGAACGGAGUGGCGAACGGGUGAGUAAUGUAUCGGAACGUGCCCAGUAGCGGGGGAUAACUACGCGAAAGCGUAGCUAAUAACGCAUACUAUGGGAGCGGCCGAUAUCGGAUUAGCUAGUUGGUGGGGUAACGGCGAACCAAGGCGACGAUCCGUAGCUGGUUUGAGAGGACGACCAGCCACACUGGGAAUGAGACAAGGCCCAGACUCCUACGGGAGGCAGAAGUGGGGAAUUUUGGACAAUGGGGUAAACCCUGAUCCAGCCAUCCCGCGGGUGCGAUGAAGGCCUUCAGGUUGUAAAGCACUUUUGGCAGUAAAGCGGUACCUGCAGAAUAAGCACCGGCUAACUACGUGCCAGCCGCCGCGGUAAUUC